rnacentral:rRNA from 1 species
UACAGAGGGUGCGAGCGUUAAUCGGAAUUACUGGGCGUAAAGGGUGCGUAGGUGGUUUAGUAAGUUAGAUGUGAAAUUCCUGGGCUUAACCUGGGGACUGCGUCUGAUACUGCGAGGCUAGAGUACUGUAGAGGGAAGUGGAAUUUCCGGUGUAGCAGUGAAAUGCGUAGAUAUCGGAAGGAACACCUGUGGCGAAGGCGGCCCCCUGGCCGGCCCUGACGCUGAGACGCGAAAGCGCGGGGAGCGAACGGG